UUUUGGACUGGCCGGAGGAAUGACCACCAAGGAACGAUACUGUGUGGAGAAUACUAACAAAACUCCUGACAAAUGCCCUGGCCAUGAAGAUGAACUGGCGAGGGGCCAAUGGGAAGCAGGCAUUCGAACGGCUUGCCCUGAAAGGCAUAGUUCUCAUUUGUGGCUGAACGACGACAUGGAUAACAUACAUCUGGCGGGGAUUUCGCUGCAUCGGCAAGAUGGAACAGCUGCCUCCGGGGCUAUCUGCUGAAACCACCAUAGUACCAAAGCUUCUGAUGGUGAAAUUGAGAAAUACAUCAAGAGGUGAAAGCAGCUGACCUCUGACCGAGGCGUAGGAAAAAGAAGAGGGCCCACCCAAAACAGAAGAAGACCAGAGGAGAGAAGAUGACCAGAGUGGGGUAGAGGAGUGAUGUCAUCACACCCUACCCUACACACUGACAAUAACAGGGAACGCUGUCACCAUACCAAAACCAAUUUCGCUAAGUGGGAUGGCUCUUUGUGAUGUUCCUCAUCAGACUGUGGAGUAGAAAUCCUAUCAGUUCUUAAUUGGUCUCGGGAAAGUCAUGCUACUUUUAAUAUGUUAACCUGUGAGUGUUUAUUACCAGUGUAAUACUGUACCUUCUUAUUUCGAUAAAGAUGUGAUGUAAUGCUCAUUUUGCUGUUCAUUGUUUAAGGUUGUUACUAUCAGGAAUCAAAGUAAGACCCAGGUGCAGACCGUGUCGAAGUAACAAUGUUUAUUAUAGGAACAAGGGCAAGGGUACAGGACGGCAGGCAGGCUCAGGGUCAGGUCAGGCAGAGGUCGGUAAUCCAGAGGUGGGGCAAAGGUACAGGAUGGCAGGCAGAGUGGUCAGGUGGGGCGGGUACAGGGUCAGGACAGGAUGAGCAAAGAGAGACUGUGGAAAAGCAGAAGCUGAAUACAAAAACACUGGAUAACUUCACAAACAAGAUGAACUGGCAACAGACAA